rnacentral:rRNA from 1 species
AGCUCCAAGAGCGUAUAUUAAAGUUGUUGCAGUUAAAAAGCUCGUAGUUGGAUUUCUGGUCUAAUGCGCCUGGCCCGCUGCCGUUAGGUAUGUGAGUGCCGGUGCGCGUUUACCAUCCUUCCAGAGAACACUUCUACCAUUUAUUUGGACGGAUGUUGUCUUCUGGAUCUUUUACUUUGAAAAAAUUAGAGUGUUUAAAGCAGGCCUUUGCUGUGAAUACAUUAGCAUGGAAUAAUAAUCUAGGACUUCGGUUCUAUUUUGUUGGUUUCUAGUACUGAAGUAAUGAUUGAUAGGGAUAGUUGGGGGUGCUAGUAUUGGCCGGCCAGAGGUGAAAUUCUUGGAUUCGGUCAAGACUAACUUAUGCGAAAGCAUUCACCAAGGAUGUCUUCU